CAUUGUAUAAGAACUGGUCUGCUGAAAUUAAAUCUUCUGACUUGGGAAAAUGUGAAUAUGAGAUUGUGGAAGUCCUCGAGGAAAAUGACUUGGGGAUCAAAGUUUCCUUUUUGGAACAAGUUGAUGGUUUUAUCUCAGUUUUCAAGGCUCAGUUAAAGGAAGGAUCAGCUGUUACAAUGGAGGUUCUUCAUGUUGAGCUGCUUAGAUUCUCCUAUCAGAUCCCUGCUUUUCAACUAACAGAAGAGAGGGAUGGCAGCCUAAGAGGCUUCUGGGAACUUGACCCUUCAGCCCUACCAGGUUAUUAUUUUGCUAUGAAGUGACAUGGCAGGUUUAUUCUAAUGCCCAUCUUUUUGCUGUUGAACUUUAUAGUAUCAACCAGAGUGGGCAUGUUUCGUGAAUGCUGAUUUAGAAACAGAUUUUGAUUCCCAGUUACUGCAACGGUGCGUAGAUGCUAAGCCUGUUCUCGGUUACAUCAUCGCAUCAUCUGUGCUCUGGAUUUGCCUUUGGAAGUUGGAUUUGUUCAUUUUGUUUCCGAUGGUAUACAGUUCUAUUUCAUUUGACAUUUUCUUGUAAAAUCUCGUCUUCUAAGAUACUUAUAUUAGCUCUUUUUUUUUUUUUUUUUUUUUUAUAGAGA
rnacentral:misc_RNA from 1 species